ACAGCAUGCAUGUGUUGUGGUGGAAAGGAUUUAUCGGUGCAGGAUGGGCCGCGGCCUAUCAGCUUGUUGGUGGGGUAAUGGCCUACCAAGGCGACGACGGGUAGCCGACCUCGAGAGGGUGACGGCCACACUGGGACUGAGACACGGCCCAGACUCCUACGGGAGGCAGCAGUGGGGAAUAUUGCACAAUGGGCGGAAGCCUGAUGCAGCGACGCCGCGUGAGGGACGAAGGCCUUCGGGUUGUAAACCUCUUUCAGCAGGGACGAAGCGUGAGUGACGGUACCUGCAGAAGAAGCACCGGCUAACUACGUGCCAG
rnacentral:rRNA from 1 species